rnacentral:rRNA from 1 species
UUAAGCGACUAAGCGUACACGGUGGAUGCCCUGGCAGUCAGAGGCGAUGAAGGACGUGCUAAUCUGCGAAAAGCGCCGGCGAGGUGAUAUGAACCUUUGACCCGGCGAUGUCCGAAUGGGGAAACCCAGUGUGAUCCGACACACUAUCGUUAACUGAAUACAUAGGUUAACGAGGCGAACCGGGGGAACUGAAACAUCUAAGUACCCCGAGGAAAAGAAAUCAACCGAGAUUCCCCCAGUAGCGGCGAGCGAACGGGGAGCAGCCCAGAGUCUGAAUCAGCUUGUGUGUUAGUGGAAGCGUCUGGAAAGUCGCACGGUACAGGGUGACAGUCCCGUACACGAAAAUGCACAGGUUGUGAACUCGAAGAGUAGGGCGGGACACGUGGUAUCCUGUCUGAAUAUGGGGGGACCAUCCUCCAAGGCUAAAUACUCCUGACUGACCGAUAGUGAACCAGUACCGUGAGGGAAAGGCGAAAAGAACCCCGGCGAGGGGAGUGAAAUAGAACCUGAAACCGUGUACGUACAAGCAGUGGGAGCACCUUCGUGGUGUGACUGCGUACCUUUUGUAUAAUGGGUCAGCGACUUAUAUUCUGUAGCAAGGUUAACCGUAUAGGGGAGCCGAAGGGAAACCGAGUCUUAACUGGGCGUUAAGUUGCAGGGUAUAGACCCGAAACCCGGUGAUCUAGCCAUGGGCAGGUUGAAGGUUGGGUAACACUAACUGGAGGACCGAACCGACUAAUGUUGAAAAAUUAGCGGAUGACUUGUGGCUGGGGGUGAAAGGCCAAUCAAACCGGGAGAUAGCUGGUUCUCCCCGAAAGCUAUUUAGGUAGCGCCUCGUGAACUCAUCUUCGGGGGUAGAGCACUGUUUCGGCUAGGGGGCCAUCCCGGCUUACCAACCCGAUGCAAACUACGAAUACCGAAGAAUGUUAUCACGGGAGACACACGGCGGGUGCUAACGUCCGUCGUGAAGAGGGAAACAACCCAGACCGCCAGCUAAGGUCCCAAAGUCAUGGUUAAGUGGGAAACGAUGUGGGAAGGCACAGACAGCCAGGAUGUUGGCUUAGAAGCAGCCAUCAUUUAAAGAAAGCGUAAUAGCUCACUGGUCGAGUCGGCCUGCGCGGAAGAUGUAACGGGGCUAAACCAUGCACCGAAGCUGCGGCAGCGACGCUUAUGCGUUGUUGGGUAGGGGAGCGUUCUGUAAGCCGUUGAAGGUGUGCUGUGAGGCAUGCUGGAGGUAUCAGAAGUGCGAAUGCUGACAUAAGUAACGAUAAAGCGGGUGAAAAGCCCGCUCGCCGGAAGACCAAGGGUUCCUGUCCAACGUUAAUCGGGGCAGGGUGAGUCGACCCCUAAGGCGAGGCCGAAAGGCGUAGUCGAUGGGAAACAGGUUAAUAUUCCUGUACUUGGUGUUACUGCGAAGGGGGGACGGAGAAGGCUAUGUUAGCCGGGCGACGGUUGUCCCGGUUUAAGCAUGUAGGCGGAGGUUCCAGGUAAAUCCGGUACCUUAUUAACGCUGAGGUGUGAUGACGAGGCACUACGGUGCUGAAGUAACAAAUGCCCUGCUUCCAGGAAAAGCCUCUAAGCAUCAGGUAACAUCAAAUCGUACCCCAAACCGACACAGGUGGUCAGGUAGAGAAUACCAAGGCGCUUGAGAGAACUCGGGUGAAGGAACUAGGCAAAAUGGUGCCGUAACUUCGGGAGAAGGCACGCUGAUAUGUAGGUGAAGCCCCUGCGGGUGGAGCUGAAAUCAGUCGAAGAUACCAGCUGGCUGCAACUGUUUAUUAAAAACACAGCACUGUGCAAACACGAAAGUGGACGUAUACGGUGUGACGCCUGCCCGGUGCCGGAAGGUUAAUUGAUGGGGUUAGCGGUAACGCGAAGCUCUUGAUCGAAGCCCCGGUAAACGGCGGCCGUAACUAUAACGGUCCUAAGGUAGCGAAAUUCCUUGUCGGGUAAGUUCCGACCUGCACGAAUGGCGUAAUGAUGGCCAGGCUGUCUCCACCCGAGACUCAGUGAAAUUGAACUCGCUGUGAAGAUGCAGUGUACCCGCGGCAAGACGGAAAGACCCCGUGAACCUUUACUAUAGCUUGACACUGAACACUGGUCCUUGAUGUGUAGGAUAGGUGGGAGGCUUUGAAGUGUGGACGCCAGUCUGCAUGGAGCCGUCCUUGAAAUACCACCCUUUAAUGGCUGGUGUUCUAACGUAGACCCGUAAUCCGGGUUGCGGACAGUGUCUGGUGGGUAGUUUGACUGGGGCGGUCUCCUCCCAAAGAGUAACGGAGGAGCACGAAGGUUAGCUAAUCCUGGUCGGACAUCAGGAGGUUAGUGCAAUGGCAUAAGCUAGCUUGACUGCGAGAGUGACGGCUCGAGCAGGUGCGAAAGCAGGUCAUAGUGAUCCGGUGGUUCUGAAUGGAAGGGCCAUCGCUCAACGGAUAAAAGGUACUCCGGGGAUAACAGGCUGAUACCGCCCAAGAGUUCAUAUCGACGGCGGUGUUUGGCACCUCGAUGUCGGCUCAUCACAUCCUGGGGCUGAAGUAGGUCCCAAGGGUAUGGCUGUUCGCCAUUUAAAGUGGUACGCGAGCUGGGUUUAGAACGUCGUGAGACAGUUCGGUCCCUAUCUGCCGUGGGCGCUGGAGAAUUGAGGGGGGCUGCUCCUAGUACGAGAGGACCGGAGUGGACGCAUCACUGGUGUUCGGGUUGUCAUGCCAAUGGCACUGCCCGGUAGCUAAAUGCGGAAAAGAUAAGUGCUGAAAGCAUCUAAGCACGAAACUUGCCCCGAGAUGAGUUCUCCCUGAGACUUUAAGUCUCCUGAAGGAACGUUGAAGACGACGACGUUGAUAGGUCGGGUGUGUAAGCGCAGCGAUGCGUUGAGCUAACCGAUACUAAUGAACCGUGAGGCUUAACCUU